rnacentral:rRNA from 1 species
GUGAGGAAUAUUGCGCAAUGGAGGCAACUCUGACGCAGCCAUGCCGCGUGCAGGAAGAAGGCGCUACGCGUUGUAAACUGCUUUUAACCGGGAAGAAACCCCAGGACGUGUCCUGGGUUGACGGUACCGGAGGAAUAAGCACCGGCUAACUUCGUGCCAGCAGCCGCGGUAAUACGAUGGGUGCAAGCGUUAUCCGGAUUCAUUGGGUUUAAAGGGUGCGUAGUCGGAGCGUUAAGUCAGUGGUGAAAUCCUGCAGCUUAACUGUAGACUUGCCAUUGAUACUGGCGCUCUUGAGUGCGCAUGAAGUGGGCGGAAUGUGCCGUGUAGCGGUGAAAUGCUUAGAUAUGGCACAGAACACCAAUUGCGAAGGCAGCUCACUAAGGCGAUACUGACGCUGAGGCACGAAAGCGUGGGGAUCGAACAGGAUUAGAUACCCCAGUAGUCC